UCUCGGCACUUGAUCUACAGCAAGGCAUCGU
rnacentral:piRNA from 1 species